UUAUUGUUGUCUUUUGUUAUAGAAUUGUUUUAUAAAUUUUGGAGCUUUAUGCCAAUUUAUUUCAUCCAAAUUAUUAACAGUUCUGUAUAGUUUUAUCACAUCACCUCUUGAUCUUCUAAUUUUUAAUGUGAAGAGAAAUGUUUAUCAGUGAGUUUUUAUGUGAUAAAUCCUUUAAACUAUAAACACGGAUUGCUUUAUGUUGGAGUUGUCCAAUCAUAAUAGCAUGUUUCUGCAUAUGUAAAUUCCUUAAUGGGGUUCAAUAAUCAAGUUGCUAUAAUCCAAACCUUUUGCAACUGUAAUAAUAAAACUCCAUUUUAUAGAGUUUGUUCGUGAUGAUUAAUGUCCUACCACAUAAAUGUAGUAAAUAUAAAAGCAAUGGCAAUAAACGUAAUGUUGACACAAAAAUGCCAAAUCUCAAGUUAAAUGGUUCAUCUAAAUCUUGAAAGUUUACACUUUAUCAAAUAAGUUAUUACUAUUUCUGUUUUCAGUGUUUAAGUGAAGGAAAAGUUGUUUUCCCUUAUUUUUACUAUUACUAAUGACUAGAUUUACUGUAUUUUUUUAAAUAGUCUCCGUGUAUAAAAAUAUUUAGGAAGAUUAAGAGGCAUUUUAAUUUUUAUUUUUAAAUUUUUUAUUUAUUUUUUGUUUAUUCAAAUAAAUUUUACAAUAAAAAAAUGAAUAAUAUACAUACAAUAAGAGUUACAAACUUUGUGACUUGACAAUAAGAACGCAGAUACUCGCAGGAGAUCAUAAGAGUUUGUCAUCAUGAACCGCCUAAACAGAUUUCAAAUAAAAAAAUGUUUAAGAUGCUUCAAAUUGUAAUUAUACUGUGGCAACAGUUUUGAUAAUAAAAUUAUAAAUUACUUUUUAUAUACUUUAUUUAGAAUCUUUUGUGAGUUGAAUUAAAUAUCAUGAAAUGUCAAAUCUCAAGACAUAAAUUUUUUAAUGGAGUUUUGGUCUAUAAUAAUCCAAGUACCACAUGUUUUAAUAAAUAUAUUUUUAAAAAGGAUGCAAGCACUAAAGAAGACAAUAACGUUACAAAUUGAAGCAGAAAUUUAUAACGAAUCAUGUUAAUGAUUGGAUGUGAAUCGCAGAAAAGCAUCAUUGUCGAAUGGCUAUGAAUCAAAUCUUUGUAUUAUAAUUGCGUAAAUAUAUUUUAAAGUUUA